GAUGAACGCUAGCGACAGGCUUAACACAUGCAAGUCGAGGGGCAGCGCGGGGUAGCGAUAUCUUGGCGGCGACCGGCGCACGGGUGAGUAACACGUAUGCAACCUGCCUAUCAGUGAGGGAUAGCCCGUCGAAAGACGGAUUAAUACUUCAUAAAACAGGGGUCCUGCAUGGGGCUAUUUGUUAAAGAUUAGUUUUGCUGAUAGAUGGGCAUGCGUUCCAUUAGGCAGUUGGUGAGGUAACGGCUCACCAAACCUACGAUGGAUAGGGGAACUGAGAGGUUGGUCCCCCACACUGGUACUGAGACACGGACCAGACUCCUACGGGAGGCAGCAGUGAGGAAUAUUGGUCAAUGGUCGCGAGACUGAACCAGCCAAGUCGCGUGCAGGACGACGGCCCUAUGGGUUGUAAACUGCUUUUAGACAGGAAUAACGUGAGGUAUGUAUACUUCAGUGAAUGUACUGUCGGAAUAAGCAUCGGCUAACUCCGUGCCAGCAGCCGCGGUAAUACGGAGGAUGCGAGCGUUAUCCGGAUUUAUUGGGUUUAAAGGGUGCGUAGGUGGGAAAUUAAGUCAGUGGUGAAAGUUUGUCGCUCAACGAUAAAAUUGCCAUUGAAACUGGUUUUCUUGAGUAUGCUUGAAGUAGGCGGAAUGCGAGGUGUAGCGGUGAAAUGCAUAGAUAUCUCGCAGAACCCCGAUUGCGAAGGCAGCUUACUAAAUCAUGACUGACACUGAAGCACGAAAGCGUGGGUAUCAAACAGGAUUAGAUACCCUGGUAGUCCACGCAGUAAACGAUGAUUACCAGUUGUUUGCGAUACACAGUAAGCGACAAAGCGAAAGCGUUAAGUAAUCCACCUGGGGAGUACGCCGGCAACGGUGAAACUCAAAGGAAUUGACGGGGGCCCGCACAAGCGGAGGAACAUGUGGUUUAAUUCGAUGAUACGCGAGGAACCUUACCCGGGUUUGAACGCAUUAGGACGGUGGGUGAAAGCUCAUUUCCAGCAAUGGCCUAUUGCGAGGUGCUGCAUGGUUGUCGUCAGCUCGUGCCGUGAGGUGUCGGCUUAAGUGCCAUAACGAGCGCAACCCCUAUUGCCAGUUACCAUCAAGUAAAGUUGGGGACUCUGGCAAGACUGCCGGCGUAAGCUGUGAGGAAGGUGGGGAUGACGUCAAAUCAGCACGGCCCUUACAUCCGGGGCGACACACGUGUUACAAUGGCGAGGACAAAGAGCCGCUACCGCGCGAGCGGAUGCCAAUCUCCAAACCUCGUCUCAGUUCGGAUCGGAGUCUGCAACUCGACUCCGUGAAGCUGGAUUCGCUAGUAAUCGCGCAUCAGCCAUGGCGCGGUGAAUACGUUCCCGGGCCUUGUACACACCGCCCGUCAAGCCAUGGGAGUUGGGGGUACCUAAAGUCCGUAACCGCAAGGAUCGGCCCAGGGUAAAACCGAUGACUGGGGCU
rnacentral:rRNA from 1 species